CACGUAGGGCGCAAGCGUUGUCCGGAAUUAUUGGGCGUAAAGAGCUCGUAGGCGGCCUGUUGCGUCCGCUGUGAAAUCCCGGGGCUUAACCCCGGGCGUGCAGUGGAUACGGGCUGGCUGGAGGCAGGCAGGGGAGAACGGAAUUCCCGGUGUAGCGGUGAAAUGCGUAGAUAUCUGGAGGAACACCGGUGGCGAAGGCGGCAUCCUGGACCAACACUGACGCUGAGUGAGCGAAAGCCAGGGGAGCAAACGGG
rnacentral:rRNA from 1 species